GUAGCCGGCCUGAGAGGGCGACCGGCCACACUGGGACUGAGACACGGCCCAGACUCCUACGGGAGGCAGCAGUGGGGAAUAUUGCGCAAUGGGCGAAAGCCUGACGCAGCAACGCCGCGUGAGGGAUGACGGCCUUCGGGUUGUAAACCUCUUUCAGCAGGGACGAAGCGAAAGUGACUGUACCUGCAGAAGAAGCGCCGGCUAACUACGUGCCAGCAGCCGCGGUAAUACGUAGGGCGCAAGCGUUGUCCGGAUUUAUUGGGCGUAAAGAGUUCGUAGGCGGUCUGUCGCGUCGGAAGUGAAAACCCGGAGCUCAACUCCGGGCCUGCUUUCGAUACGGGCAGACUUGAGUGUUGCAGGGGAGACUG
rnacentral:rRNA from 1 species